GACGAACGCUGGCGGCGUGCCUAAUACAUGCAAGUCGAACGCAGUGGGGACUGGAGAGUAACACGUGGGUAACCUCCCAUCAAAGGGGAAAACAUUUGGAAACAGGUGCUAAACCGAUACUGAUGGAUGUACUCCCGGUUCAUUAGCUAGUUGGUGAGGUAACGGCUCACCAAGGCCACGAUGCAUAGGCGGCCUAAGAGUGUGAUCAGCAAAAGUGGGAAUGGGACACGGCCCAGACUCCGAAGGGAGGCAGCAGGAGGGAAUCUUCGGCAAUGGACGAAAGUCUGACCGACCAACGCCGCGUGAGUGAAGAAGGGUAUCGGAUCGUAAAGCUCUAUAGUUAGAGAAGCGGUAUCUAACCAGAAAGCCACGGCUAACUACGUGCCAGCAGCCGCGGUAAUAC
rnacentral:rRNA from 1 species